GCUUGUUGGUGGGGUAACGGCCUACCAAGGCGACGAUGUCUAGGGGCUCUGAGAGGAGAAUCCCCCACACUGGUACUGAGACACGGACCAGACUCCUACGGGAGGCAGCAGUAAGGAAUAUUGGUCAAUGGAGGGAACUCUGAACCAGCCAUGCCGCGUGCAGGAAGACGGCCCUACGGGUUGUAAACUGCUUUUGCACGGGAAUAACCCUCAUUAUGUAUAAUGAGCUGAAUGUACCGUGAGAAUAAGGAUCGGCUAACUCCGUGCCAGCAGCCGCGGUAAUACGGAGGAUCCGAGCGUUAUCCGGAAUUAUUGGGUUUAAAGGGUGCGCAGGCGGGGAUCUAAGUCAGGGGUGAAAGACGGUGGCUCAACCAUCGCAGUGCCUUUGAUACUGGAUUUCUUGAAUGUACCUGAGGUAGGCGGAAUGUGGCAAGUAGCGGUGAAAUGCAUAGAUAUGCCACGGAACACCGAUUGCGAAGGCAGCUUACCAAAGUAUGAUUGACGCUGAGGCACGAAAGCGUGGGGAUCGAACAGGAUUAGAUACCCUGGUAGUCCACGCCCUAAACGAUGAACACUCGAUGUCGGCGAUAGACAGUCGGCGUCCAAGCGAAAGCGUUAAGUGUUCCACCUGGGGAGUACGCCCGCAAGAUUAAAACUCAAAUG
rnacentral:rRNA from 1 species